UGCGGUAAGUAUCAGCAGCUUUGGGGAUCGUCAGGAAUGUUUCUUGUGUAAAGUGGUCCCAACCCCAAAAUGUUGGAGCACGGCUACUGUGACUUACCGUUCUAGAAGUGGAAUCGGGAGGCAAGAGAGAUGCGCUCUUGCAUUUUGGUAGAGAUUGUCAAGUAGCCCUCAGGAAACGUUUAGUGGGCACCGCCCGUGCAUCGCGGGUGGUGUCAUGGCUGACGCUCGUGACUGACACCAACUGACAGCCCGGGGACUCGGUGUAUAUUCUGAUGGACGUCCGAUGGACGAUGAGGUCCUCGUCCUCUGUAAUCGACAGGAUGAAUUCCACCACUGGCUUCCCACACAAGAGACCAGAUCUGCCGUCCUGGGAUAAAACCCCGCUGAUCACAGACAGAGGCCGCUGUCACCAAUUUGCCUUCUCACCGUUCCGCAGGCCAGAGGUCUGCGAUCAGGUGUGGCCAGGGCCGUGUUCUCGCAGGAGGCUCCAGGGGAGGACCCUUCGUCACCUUCCCCAGAUUCUGGUGGUGCCCACCCAUCCUUGACGUUCCUUGCUUUACGACUUCCGCGUCCAUCAUACGUUGUUUGCUCUGUACAUCUGUCUUCCUGAGACGUUCUCUUCUCCGCCUGUCUUCUGCCGUUCUUACAAGGACACCAGUCACAUGGGACCAAGGGCCCACGCUAAUCCAGGAUGACCUCGUCGUAGUCUAACUAACUGCAUCCGCGGAGACCCAAUUUCCAAGUGUGGGCACCUGCACAGGUGGCCAGCACAAGGUGGCUCCUCGUGGUUGGGACCGAGGUGUCCAGAGGUCCCGGUCUUCUUGCCGGCUGUCACGGGCUGCCGUCAGCCCCCAGAGCCCACGAGCGCAAUUACAAUUUGGCAAAGCUCAGGACAGACAGAUUAGGGAGCUGUUUGUUCCGGUAGUUACCGCACCCCGAGGGGUCGCCCCCACCGCGGUCUCCCACAACGCCAGCUCCUGUCCACACUGCAGGAUGCUUCUCUCUACCGCGAUGGGCCACCCCUCCGAGGAGCAUCCAACAGAGGAAAUGGCCCCGGAGAGCCCCACGUCCAGGAAGUACGCGUACAGCCGAGCGCAGGGCUUUGUCCCCUCGUCAGGGGGGUGGCUGCCAGCCGCUGGCAUCCCGUGGGUCACAUCUUACAACCCUACAGGCAACACAUCUUCCCCGUUGGCCAAAAAAGCGCUCAGGAAACGUCACUCGGGAUCCCAGCUUGUGUCACUGCCCCCUCCGGGGCCCGGCCUCGAGCACAUCACAUCCUCAUCCCUGGGCCACACACGGAGCUGGGAAGGACACAACAGAAGCAGGACACUGGGCAGGCGGAGACAACACACGGAUAUUUUGUUUUGGUUUGUGGCUCCCUGAGCGUCCCUCGUGCAGACACAACGGCCGAGAAGUACGCGUUCGGGGCGGUGCGGAUGCCGCGGGGCCUCACAUCGGAAAGCAGUGUCCGGCAUCGGGGGGGGGGGGUGCCUUGAGCACCCCCACCCCACCCCCGCCCGUUACUCGCCAGCCGUGGGACCUGUGAGAAUCGCCAGCUUUCCUCACCCGUGGCAUCGUGGCCGUAAUCGUGCCACGGCGGCCAGCAGCCACCAGACUAGGUGACUGGAUGCUGUGAGGACAGAGCCUUGUCUCCCACGCGGAUCCGACCAAUAAACCCUACUCUUGUGACCAUCUUGGGAGUCUAAUGCCUCUCGGAACGUAUUUCCGGAAAAGGUGGGCGGUGGAGAAAGAAUGGAUUUUGGAGCUGGCCUCUAGAUCUGUGGGGAGUUUUCUUUCACUUUUGGUGGGGGUGGUAUAUUUCACUGAGGAAUGCUUUUGCUUUCACAAAGAGUGCCUGGGUGGCAAACAUCUUUCUUUUGCUCUCAAAGCAAACAAGAGUCUGGCUGAGUGUAGAAUUCUGAUAUUUCCGCUCUUUCUCUCAAAAUCUCUGUAACCACUGCUUCUGAAAUCGAGGGUCUCCACAAGGACCUCGGUGGCAGUCUGAUGGUCCCCCCUCCCGCGUGGGAGCGUCGUGGGGUCGCCUUCCACGUGGGGGGAUGAAGAGAAUUCGCCAGCGUGCAUGCGUGUGGGUGACUUUCCCCCGGACUCUGCCUUGACCCUCGCGUGUUUGCUAGCUUCGGGGGAACGUGCGCAUAUUGCCGUAUCGUAUAUUCGCGCACUGUGCCUCCAGCGUCUGCACAAGCACUGCUGGUCAGCUGUCGCCAAUGCUUUGUAACAAGCCGCCCCACCCAAUGGGGAAAGAUCAUGAGCGUGUGCUGUCCUGCUCACGGGCUAGCACAGCCUCGAGCUGCAGGGCUGCGGUCAGCGAGGAGGCCUCUCCUCUGCGACCAGCUACUGCGGCCACGUCCUCCGGUGCCUACGGGAGAUGUUCAAGAGCAAAGCAAGCCAUGUGGCUCAAAGCAACACCAACAGGACCAAGAAAUAUGUGCUUCCUGUAGCGGGGAAAGUCCCAAGUCACACGGCUCAGGGUGUGGGUGCAGGGAGGGCUGAGCCUCAGGGACAGGAAAGCGUCUGCUCGUUCAGAAUGUGGAUAUGGGUUCCUGGUUAACAUCACCCAUGCCUCUGACUCUUGCCCCUGUGGUCUCUCUCUCUCUCCCUCCCGUCUCCCUGUCCCUCCUUCUCUCCCUCCCAUCUUAAUUCCAAGUGAAUUGUAUGUAGUAGUCUCCUAAUUCUGUAAUUUGGUUCCGAGCAUAAAAUCAGGAAUAAAAAUAAGCCAUAAACCAGG